AUUUAAAUAGUUUAUAAAAAACAUAAUACUGAAGAUAUUAAAAUAACAAAAGUUUUUAAAUA
rnacentral:tRNA from 1 species